rnacentral:rRNA from 1 species
GAUGAACGCUGGCGGCGUGCCUAAUACAUGCAAGUCGAGCGAAUGGAUUGAGAGCUUGCUCUUAUGAAGUUAGCGGCGGACGGGUGAGUAACACGUGGGUAACCUGCCCAUAAGACUGGGAUAACUCCGGGAAACCGGGGCUAAUACCGGAUAACAUUUUGAACCGCAUGGUUCGAAAUUGAAAGGCGGCUUCGGCUGUCACUUAUGGAUGGACCCGCGUCGCUUUAGCUAGUUGGUGAGGUAACGGCUCACCAAGGCAACGAUGCGUAGCCGACCUGGGAGGGUGAUCGGCCACACUGGGACUGAGACACGGCCCAGACGCCUACGGGAGGCAGCAGUAGGGAAUCUUCCGCAAUGGACGAAAGUCUGACGGAGCAACGCCGCGUGAGUGAUGAAGGCUUUCGGGUCGUAAAACUCUGUUGUUAGGGAAGAACAAGUGCUAGUUGAAUAAGCUGGCACCUUGACGGUACCUAACCAGAAAGCCACGGCUAACUACGUGCCAGCCGCCGCCGUAA